GGCUCAGGAUGAACGCUGGCGGCGUGCUUAACACAUGCAAGUCGAACGAACCUUCGGGUUAGUGGCGGACGGGUGAGUAACGCGUGAGAAUCUGCCCUCAGGAGGGGGAUAACGGUUGGAAACGACCGCUAAUACCCCAUAUGCCGCGAGGUGAAAUGAAUUUCGCCUGAGGAUGAGCUCGCGUCUGAUUAGCUAGUUGGUGGGGUAAAGGCCUACCAAGGCAUCGAUCAGUAGCUGGUCUGAGAGGAUGAUCAGCCACACUGGGACUGAGACACGGCCCAGACUCCUACGGGAGGCAGCAGUGGGGAAUUUUCCGCAAUGGGCGAAAGCCUGACGGAGCAACGCCGCGUGAGGGAUGAAGGCCUCUGGGCUGUAAACCUCUUUUAUCAAGGAAGAAGAUCUGACGGUACUUGAUGAAUAAGCCACGGCUAAUUCCGUGCCAGCAGCCGCGGUAAUACGGGAGUGGCAAGCGUUAUCCGGAAUUAUUGGGCGUAAAGCGUCCGCAGGCGGCCCUUCAAGUCUGCUGUUAAAGAGUGGAGCUUAACUCCAUCAUGGCAGUGGAAACUGUUGGGCUUGAGUGUGGUAGGGGCAGAGGGAAUUCCCGGUGUAGCGGUGAAAUGCGUAGAUAUCGGGAAGAACACCAGUGGCGAAGGCGCUCUGCUGGGCCAUCACUGACGCUCAUGGACGAAAGCCAGGGGAGCGAAAGGGAUUAGAUACCCCUGUAGUCCUGGCCGUAAACGAUGAACACUAGGUGUCGGGGGAAUCGACCCCCUCGGUGUCGUAGCCAACGCGUUAAGUGUUCCGCCUGGGGAGUACGCACGCAAGUGUGAAACUCAAAGGAAUUGACGGGGGCCCGCACAAGCGGUGGAGUAUGUGGUUUAAUUCGAUGCACGCGAAGAACCUUACCAGGGUUUGACAUCCUGCGAAUCUCUUGGAAACGAGAGAGUGCCUUCGGGAACGCAGUGACAGGUGGUGCAUGGCUGUCGUCAGCUCGUGUCGUGAGAUGUUGGGUUAAGUCCCGCACGAGCGCAACCCACGUCUUUAGUUGCCAGCAUUUAGUUGGGCACUCUAGAGAGACCGCCGGUGAUAAACCGGAGGAAGGUGUGGAUGACGUCAAGUCAUCAUGCCCCUUACAUCCUGGGCUACACACGUACUACAAUGCUACGGACAAAGGGCAGCAAGUUCGCGAGGACAAGCAAAUCCCAUAAACCGUGGCUCAGUUCAGAUCGUAGGCUGCAACUCGCCUACGUGAAGGAGGAAUCGCUAGUAAUCGCAGGUCAGCAUACUGCGGUGAAUACGUUCCCGGGCCUUGUACACACCGCCCGUCACACCAUGGAAGUUGGCCACGCCCGAAGCCGUUACUCCAACCCUCGGGAGGAGGACGUCGAAGGUGGGGCUGAUGACUGGGGUGAAGUCGUAACAAGGUAUCCGUACCGGAAGGUGCGGAUGGAUCACCUCCUAA
rnacentral:rRNA from 3 species